rnacentral:rRNA from 1 species
GACGAACGCUGGCGGCGUGCCUAACACAUGCAAGUCGAACGGAAAGGCCCUGCUUUUGUGCGGUGCUCGAGUGGCGAACGGGUGAGUAACACGUGGGUAACCUGCCCUUGACUUUGGGAUAACUUCAGGAAACUGGGGCUAAUACCAGCUAGGAGCUCCCGCUGCAUGGUGGGGGUUGGAAAGAUUCGCCGGUUGGGGAUGGAAUCGCGCCUUAUGGGCUUGUUGGGUGGGUAGUGGAUUAGCAAGACUUGGAAGGGUAGCCGGCCUGGGAGGGUGACCGGCCACAUCGGGCUUGAGCUGCGGCCCAGACUCCUCUGGGACGCAGCGGAGGGGAAUAUUGUACUGUGGGCGGAAGCCUGGUGCAGCAACGCCGCGUCCCGUGUGUCGGCCUUCGGGUUGUGUUCCGCUUUCCCCUGAGCCGAGACGUGAGUGACGGUAACGGGUGAAGAAGCACCGGCUAACUACGUG